AUGUAAGGCCCGUCUUUUGCCCAAACCUUAUGCAUUUCUAAAGAAUGCCUUUUUGCAUUCAAUUUACAUGUGUGGAUGCCUGUGUUUGAUCUGUAUUGUCUUAGCUGGCCAUGGCCAAAGAUCCCCAACACCCGCUCAUGCAUAAAGUGACCAUUUGCUCCUUGUUCUGGCCCCUCUACUGAGAGAUAACUCACUUUGAAUGUCUGGA